UCCUCGGUGGCGCAAUUGGCUAGCGCGUCUGACUGUUACUACCCGAUCAGGGAAGUUGAUAUCAGGAGGUUGAAAGUUCGAGCCUUUCCCGGGGAG
rnacentral:tRNA from 1 species